ACAUGCAAGUCGAACGCGAAAGAAUCCUUCGGGAUUUGGACGAGUGGCGAACGGGUGAGGAACACGUAAGAAUCUACCUUUCGGUUGGGGAUAACUUCUGGAAACGGGAGCUAAUACCCAAUAUGCUGUGGAGUGAAAGAAUUUCGCCGAGAGACGAUCUUGCGUCUGAUUAGCUUGUUGGGGUGGUAAUGGCACACCAAGGCGACGAUCAGUAGCUGGUCUGAGAGGAUGGACAGCCACAUUGGGACUGAGACACGGCCCAGACUCCUACGGGAGGCAGCAGUGGGGAAUUUUCCGCAAUGGACGAAAGUCUGACGGAGCGACGCUGCGUGAAGGAUGAAGGCCCGUGGGUUGUAAACUUCUUUUCUCGAAGAAGAAAAAAAUGACGGUAUUCGAGGAAUAAGCAUCGGCUAACUCUGUGCCAGCAGCCGCGGUAAGACAGAGGAUGCAAGUGUUAUUCGGAAUGAUUGGGCGUAAAGAGUCUGUAGGCGGUUUAGAAAGUCUUUUGUGAAAUACUUCAGCUCAACUGAGGCUCCGCAAAAGAAACUUCUAGACUUGAGGAAAGUAGAGGUACAGGGAAUUUCCGGUGGAGCGGUGAAAUGCGUAGAUAUCGGAAGGAACACCAAUAUGGCGAAGGCACUGUACUGGGCUUUUCCUGACGCUCAGAGACGAAAGCUGAAGGAGUGAUUAGGAUUAGAUACCCUAGUAAUUUCAGCCGUAAACGAUGAAAACUCACUGUCGAGCCAAUAU
rnacentral:rRNA from 1 species